GACGAACGCUGGCGGCGUGCUUAACACAUGCAAGUCGAACGAUGAACUUGGAGCUUGCUCUGGGGGAUUAGUGGCGAACGGGUGAGUAACACGUGAGUAACCUGCCCUGGACUCUGGGAUAACUUCGAGAAAUCGGAGCUAAUACCGGAUAGGACCUUGCACCGCAUGGUGUGGGGUGGAAAGUUUUUCGGUUUGGGAUGGACUCGCGGCCUAUCAGCUUGUUGGUGAGGUAAUGGCUCACCAAGGCGUCGACGGGUAGCCGGCCUGAGAGGGUGACCGGCCACACUGGGACUGAGACACGGGCCAGACUCCUACGGGAGGCAGCAGUGGGGGAUAUUGCACAAUGGGCGCAAGCCUGAUGCAGCAACGCCGCGUGCGGGAUGACGGCCUUCGGGUUGUAAACCGCUUUUAGUAGGGAAGAAGCCUUCGGGUGACGGUACCUGCAGAAAAAGGACCGGCUAACUACGUGCCAGCCGCCGCGGUAAAAC
rnacentral:rRNA from 1 species